GAGAACGUACCAACUUAAUAGAUUCGAUCAGAAUAAGUCCUUUGGCUUUGGAUCGAUCCGUUUACUUUAAAAGUAAACAUACAUGUUCUCCUUAUGAUGCAUGCAACCAUGCACGAAAGCGUUUUUACUUUUUAGUUUACAGUUUAGUUCUUUUUUUUUUUGUUUAUACAAUUUAUUCGGUUGUUGUUUUACUGCCAUCUCUGUAAUUAAUUAGGCCAAAAUUAAUAUUUUAUCUCAAUCAACAUAGUUGGUCAUUAGCUAGCUAGAGAUUGAUAAUUAUAAAUGUGUUAGCUUUUUCUUUUAAUUCAACGAUAUGCGGUCGUACUAACUUUCUUCUUCCUUUUAAACGUGCAUGUUCACUGCGGCGUGAC
rnacentral:lncRNA from 1 species